rnacentral:rRNA from 1 species
CAGCCGCCACGGUAAUACGUAGGUGGCAAGCGUUAUCCGGAAUUAUUGGGCGUAAAGCGCGCGUAGGCGGUUUUUUAAGUCUGAUGUGAAAGCCCACGGCUCAACCGUGGAGGGUCAUUGGAAACUGGAAAACUUGAGUGCAGAAGAGGAAAGUGGAAUUCCAUGUGUAGCGGUGAAAUGCGCAGAGAUAUGGAGGAACACCAGUGGCGAAGGCGACUUUCUGGUCUGUAACUGACGCUGAUGUGCGAAAGCGUGGGGAUCAAACAGGAUUAGAUACCCCUGUAGUCCCUGUCUCUUAUAC